CGCGCGUGACGCAAAGCUAGCACGGCCGAGCCGGCGCCCUGGCAACCGCGGCUGAUGGCUCACGGGAGCGCGCCCCAGCUAAGACCGGCCAGCUGUUCAUAUCCAUUCUGUGCUGUCAGUAACAUUCAACUUGAUUUUGUCAACUGAAAUAGAAACAUUAAAUAGAGGAAAAAUGCUUCAGGAACAUCAAAGAAAACGUGGAAUAAUGGGCUGCUAUGGCCCACAUUUUACAACGUAUGUUUACAAGAUACUUGUUUUUUGCCAAAUGCUGGUAAAGUGAGGGAGAUAAUUGGAGGAACAAUGACCUCAUCUUUACUGAAGGCAUCUGUCAUUAUAUCACUAAGGUGGAAUGGUAGACAGUCGUGUACAUAGUGCCCAGAAACUUUGUGAUGGGCACAUUAAAAUUUUUUUAAAGAUUAGUAAAUUCUUCCAUUAAAAUUUUUUCCCCAUUUGAAUCCAUUAAUAGGACAACAAUUUUAUUUUUGGCAGAAGAAAAGCAGUUAAAAACCUUUCUAAAUGUCAACGAUCUAUCACUACCAGAUUAGUUGCCUUACCUGAUGCAAGCUGAAUGCAGUGUGUCCCUAUAAAUCUAGGGAAGGUAUUUAUAAAUUGUAAAAGCCUAGAAGUGAGUGUGAGAUAGAUUAGAUAGAUGGCACUCUAUUCUGUGAUAGACAAAUAGUUCUGCAGUCGGGGAAUAAUUCUGUGGAAACAUAGAGUAUAACAUGGUAGACAAUACUGAAGACUCAAAGAACAGAUAGAACAAUACCAUCCACUACUUCCAUCAUAACAAAAUCCUCCUUUGGAGUCUCAGGUGGAGACUCCUUUCUCUAAUACCAGAAGCAGCUACAGGGCUUUCACACUCCUUGGGGGAGAUACAGGCAUUCUUUCUCCUGUGUUACGGCUGUAGAAAAAUAUGAAACGUAAACAUCUGUAUAAUGUUCUAAUGAACUGGUUCGUGUGUGUAUGUGUCACUGCCUUCUGUCUGAAUGAAUCAAAACUCUUCAACUGUAUGUCAUAGCCCCUGUACUGCUAAUACUGAAUGGUUGCUUAUGCCUUAGUUCAAGUCUCUGGGACCUGUGCCUUUAGAGCAGGAGGAUUUCAGUUCUACUCCUGCUGUUGCUGAGACAGCCCAAAGAAGGCCAACAUUUUCCUUUCUGUUAUGAAAUGGAAACCAUAGUUAUUGAAGCAUGCUGAGACAGAAUGCAUUUACCGGAGACAGUGGGUAGCAGUUGUUUUUCCCUGCACCCCAGUUUGCUUGAACUACUUAAUUAGUCACAAUGUUUUCUGUAACUGAGGGUAGAACAAACUGUUACAGAUUUCAGUAGCACUAGAAAGGUAGUAGGGAGAUUGUGGAUGAAACUGAGAAACAUUUAAUCUAUUUUGGAGGUUGUGAGCAAAUCCAAGAAACAAAGCCCUAGGCAAAAGCAGCAGGUGGCAACCCGGGUGAAAGGGUAGUUCAGAGAAAUGGCAAAAGAGAGACAAUUGAAUGUACAACCCCAGCCAUGUGAAACUCUUCCAGAGGGGGCUGUCCUCCUGCUCUUCCAACAGAAUUCAAUGCUCUCCUCUCAAGAUAGACAUUCAUUCUGAAAUACUGGCUCCUUCAUAUUGCAUCAUCUUCCAUGGACAUGGAAGAUGAUGUUAGUCAAGUGCUCUGUAAAGCUUACACCACCAUCCUUACCAAGAAUCUGAAUCCUUGAGUCCUGUCUGCUCCUCCUCUUUUCCGUUCUGUUUUAGUUGAAUUUGAUGCUGUUCCCCCUCCUAGUACAUUAAUAGAUUUUAAAGCCAGAAGGGACUAUUAAAUCAUCUACUUUGACCUACUGCAUAACAUAGGCCAUAGAAUUUCACCUAGUUACCCCUGAAUUGAGCCAAAAUAACCUGUAGAUGACUAAAGCAUAUCUUCCAGAAAGGCAUUUGGUCUUGAUUUGAAGACAGCCAGAGAUGGAGAAUCCGGCACUUCCUUUGGUAUGUUCCAAUGCUAAUCACUCUCUCACUGUUAGAAAUAUGUAUCUCUUAUUUCUGAUUUGAUUUUUUCUGGCUUUAACUUCCAGCUAUUGGUUCCUGUAUGCCCUGUGAAGAUAUUUAUAUACCAUAAUCUGGUCACCUCAGGUCUUCUUUUAGAUAAGCUAAACAGAGAGAGCUUCUCACUAUGAGGCAUUUUCUUCAGCUCUUGAAAAAUUUGUAUGGAUCUUUUAUAGCUCCUCUCCAAUUUUUCAACAUUAUUUUUAAAAUGCGGAUCUCAGAAUUGGACACACUAUUCUAGUAUUGAUCUCACCAAUGCCGUAAUGAAGAAAAACCAUUUGUCUGUUCCUACUCACUAGUCCUGUGUUUAUGAAGCCAAGGAUCAUAUUAGCCCUUUUAGCCACAGCACUGCACUGGUAGCUCAUGAGUUGUUUGUGCACUAGGACCCCUCAUUUCUUUACAGAGUCACUGUUUUCCAGGACACCCCCACCCCACACACACACUUUAGGAAUGGCCUGCUUUCUUCAUUCCUAGCUGUAGGACCUUGCAUUUGUAUUAAAACCAUUUUAUUUGAAUGGGCCUCGCCUACCAAGGGGUCCAGAUUGCUGUGUAUGACUUGCCCUGUCCUCAUCGCUAUUUACCACUCUGCCAAUUUUUGUGUCCUUCUGCAAAUUUAAUCAGCUGUGACUUUAUAUUUACUUCCAGAUCAUUGAUUAAACUAUUGAAUGAAACAUUGGUGAAAGGUCUUGAAUUGACAGUUGAAGCCUUUGGUUUAUUCCCUGUGGCCAUGACAAUAGGAAAUAGGGGCACAGCAUGGAAUACGCAGCCCAAGGGGAGGGGAUGCUAAAGUGGCUUUGAGUCACCUUUGCACCUUCACAAUCCUGGUCUGCUCCAAGGAGCCCAGUGUAACUUAGAGAGUCCUUUGGUCCUAUCUAAGUUAUAAUAGCCUUUUUGGGCUGCCCUGUGGACUGUGGGACUGCCUGGAAUCUCUACAACAUUGCAUACUGUGAUCCUGCCCCCAAUACAAUCCUGCCUCCAGCAUGACACCAUCGCAGGCCUGGCAAAGAGGAUUUUGAAGGGCAGCCUUAUGUCCAUCUUGUGCAGUACCUGCAUCAGGGGAAUGCUCCUCUGGCAUGAACCAGGGCUUUUAUGAUCCCUUAUGCCACUCCAGCCCUUUUACUCAGUGUAAAGGUGUCAGGGUGGGUGUGAGGAUAUUACCGUGUGAAUGUAACAGCACCUUACCUCUUCCUAAUCUGUCAUUUUGACUGUGCCCAAGAGAACUCUAAAACAGCACUUCUGCAUUCCCAUUAAACCUUCAUUUUGAUCUGUGCAGCACCAUUGCACUGGGAAGUUCUUUCAUAGAUUCCAAGGCCAGUAUGAACCACUCUGAUUAUCUAGUCCAGGGGUCUCAAACAUGCGGAUGUGGCC